rnacentral:rRNA from 1 species
AUGGCGGCGGGGAGGGUGACCGGCCAUCGGACUGUGGAGGCGUGUGCUCUCAAGGUAUGCGGCAGCAACAAGGAAGAUGAGGGGGAUGCGGCUGGCAAUUUCGAGGCAGCGGUGGAGAAGACGUCUGCUUCGUUCGCCGGCGGUGAAGUCAUGGAGGCGGAGACGGAAUCCUUCUUGGCUAGCCAUCAAGGCAUGGAGGCUCAGACCAAAAGGAAGAUGUUUAUGUCGCCGGAGGACAUGGAUGUGAUCCUCAGCCACGAGGCGAGGGGAGACAGCUUCAAGCAGUUCCAGGCCAGGAUCAGGAAGGAGGUGGCGGAGACGGGCCACUUCGAGAUCUCCGAAGAGUAUUUCAACAAGGUGUUCCAGCACCGAGCUUGGAUCAGGCAAGAAUGGUCCAACCUGAGGUCCCAGUAUCCCAACUUGGUGUGGGAGGAGGAGGAGGAGGACGAGCCUGUGAAAUCCGGCUGA